GCUAGUGUGGCAUAGUGGUUUCAGUUUUGGACUGUGACUCUGGAGACUAGGCUUCGAAUCCCCGCUCUGCCA